UCCCUGAGGGUCUAGUAGUUAGGAUUUGGUGCUUUCACUGCUGCAGCCUGGGUUCAAUCCCCAGCCUGGGAA
rnacentral:tRNA from 1 species